GAUGAACGCUAGCGGCAGGCUUAACACAUGCAAGUCGAGGGGUAUAGGGAGCUUGCUUCCUAGAGACCGGCGCACGGGUGCGUAACGCGUAUGCAAUCUACCUUUUGCAGAGGGAUAGCCCAGAGAAAUUUGGAUUAAUACCUCAUAGUAUGUGAGAAUGGCAUCAUUUUCACAUUAAAGUCACAACGGCAAAAGAUGAGCAUGCGUCCCAUUAGCUUGUUGGUAGGGUAACGGCUUACCAAAGGCAACGAUGGGUAGGGGUCCUGAGAGGGAGAUCCCCCACACUGGUACUGAGACACGGACCAGACUCCUACGGGAGGCAGCAGUGAGGAAUAUUGGACAAUGGCGCAAGCCUGAUCCAGCCAUGCCGCGUGCAGGAUGACGGUCCUAUGGAUUGUAAACUGCUUUUGUACGGGAAGAAACAACUCCUACGUGUAGGAGCUUGACGGUACCGUAAGAAUAAGGAAUCGGCUAAACUCCGU
rnacentral:rRNA from 1 species